GAUGAACGCUGGCGGCGUGCCUAAUACAUGCAAGUCGAGCGAACAGACGAGGAGCUUGCUCCUCUGACGUUAGCGGCGGACGGGUGAGUAACACGUGGAUAACCUACCUAUAAGACUGGGAUAACUUCGGGAAACCGGAGCUAAUACCGGAUAAUAUAUUGAACCGCAUGGUUCAAUAGUGAAAGACGGUUUUGCUGUCACUUAUAGAUGGAUCCGCGCCGCAUUAGCUAGUUGGUAAGGUAACGGCUUACCAAGGCAACGAUGCGUAGCCGACCUGAGAGGGGGAUAGGCCACACUGGAACUGAGACACGGUCCAGACUCCUACGGGAGGCAGCAGUAGGGAAUCGUCCGCAAUGGGCGAAAGCCUGACGGAGCAACGCCGCGUGAGUGAUGAAGGUCUUCGGAUCGUAAAACUCUGUUAUUAGGGAAGAACAAAUGUGUAAGUAACUAUGCACGUCUUGACGGUACCUAAUCAGAAAGCAACGGCUAACUACGUG
rnacentral:rRNA from 1 species